rfam:Colletotrichum gloeosporioides Nara gc5 unplaced genomic scaffold scaffold403, whole genome shotgun sequence.
GUCAAGGUGCCAGAGUGGUUAAUGGGCUGCCCUGCUAUCAGUUCUCUGAUGUCAGCUUAGGCAGUGGCUUCGGUCGCGCAGGUUCGAAUCCUGUCCUUGACG